rnacentral:rRNA from 1 species
UCCUGACUGACCGAUAGUGAACCAGUACCGUGAGGGAAAGGCGAAAAGAACCCCGGCGAGGGGAGUGAAAAAGAACCUGAAACCGUGUACGUACAAGCAGUGGGAGCACGCUUAGGCGUGUGACUGCGUACCUUUUGUAUAAUGGGUCAGCGACUUAUAUUCUGUAGCAAGGUUAACCGAAUAGGGGAGCCGAAGGGAAACCGAGUCUUAACUGGGCGUUAAGUUGCAGGGUAUAGACCCGAAACCCGGUGAUCUAGCCAUGGGCAGGUUGAAGGUUGGGUAACACUAACUGGAGGACCGAACCGACUAAUGUUGAAAAAUUAGCGGAUGACUUGUGGCUGGGGGUGAAAGGCCAAUCAAACCGGGAGAUAGCUGGUUCUCCCCGAAAGCUAUUUAGGUAGCGCCUCGUGAAUUCAUCUCCGGGGGUAGAGCACUGUUUCGGCAAGGGGGUCAUCCCGACUUACCAACCCGAUGCAAACUGCGAAUACCGGAGAAUGUUAUCACGGGAGACACACGGCGGGUGCUAACGUCCGUCGUGAAGAGGGAAACAACCCAGACCGCCAGCUAAGGUCCCAAAGUCAUGGUUAAGUGGGAAACGAUGUGGGAAGGCCCAGACAGCCAGGAUGUUGGCUUAGAAGCAGCCAUCAUUUAAAGAAAGCGUAAUAGCUCACUGGUCGAGUCGGCCUGCGCGGAAGAUGUAACGGGGCUAAACCAUGCACCGAAGCUGCGGCAGCGAUGCUUAUGCGUUGUUGGGUAGGGGAGCGUUCUGUAAGCCUGCGAAGGUGUGCUGUGAGGCAUGCUGGAGGUAUCAGAAGUGCGAAUGCUGACAUAAGUAACGAUAAAGCGGGUGAAAAGCCCGCUCGCCGGAAGACCAAGGGUUCCUGUCCAACGUUAAUCGGGGCAGGGUGAGUCGACCCCUAAGGCGAGGCCGAAAGGCGUAGUCGAUGGGAAACAGGUUAAUAUUCCUGUACUUGGUGUUACUGCGAAGGGGGGACGGAGAAGGCUAUGUUGGCCGGGCGACGGUUGUCCCGGUUUAAGCGUGUAGGCUGGUUUUCCAGGCAAAUCCGGAAAAUCAAGGCUGAGGCGUGAUGACGAGGCACUACGGUGCUGAAGCAACAAAUGCCCUGCUUCCAGGAAAAGCCUCUAAGCAUCAGGUAACAUCAAAUCGUACCCCAAACCGACACAGGUGGUCAGGUAGAGAAUACCAAGGCGCUUGAGAGAACUCGGGUGAAGGAACUAGGCAAAAUGGUGCCGUAACUUCGGGAGAAGGCACGCUGAUAUGUAGGUGAAGUCCCUUGCGGAUGGAGCUGAAAUCAGUCGAAGAUACCAGCUGGCUGCAACUGUUUAUUAAAAACACAGCACUGUGCAAACACGAAAGUGGACGUAUACGGUGUGACGCCUGCCCGGUGCCGGAAGGUUAAUUGAUGGGGUCAGCGCAAGCGAAGCUCUUGAUCGAAGCCCCGGUAAACGGCGGCCGUAACUAUAACGGUCCUAAGGUAGCGAAAUUCCUUGUCGGGUAAGUUCCGACCUGCACGAAUGGCGUAAUGAUGGCCAGGCUGUCUCCACCCGAGACUCAGUGAAAUUGAACUCGCUGUGAAGAUGCAGUGUACCCGCGGCAAGACGGAAAGACCCCGUGAACCUUUACUAUAGCUUGACACUGAACAUUGAGCCUUGAUGUGUAGGAUAGGUGGGAGGCUUUGAAGUGUGGACGCCAGUCUGCAUGGAGCCGGCCUUGAAAUACCACCCUUUAAUGUUUGAUGUUCUAACGUGGACCCGUGAUCCGGGUUGCGGACAGUGUCUGGUGGGUAGUUUGACUGGGGCGGUCUCCUCCUAAAGAGUAACGGAGGAGCACGAAGGUUGGCUAAUCCUGGUCGGACAUCAGGAGGUUAGUGCAAUGGCAUAAGCCAGCUUGACUGCGAGCGUGACGGCGCGAGCAGGUGCGAAAGCAGGUCAUAGUGAUCCGGUGGUUCUGAAUGGAAGGGCCAUCGCUCAACGGAUAAAAGGUACUCCGGGGAUAACAGGCUGAUACCGCCCAAGAGUUCAUAUCGACGGCGGUGUUUGGCACCUCGAUGUCGGCUCAUCACAUCCUGGGGCUGAAGUAGGUCCCAAGGGUAUGGCUGUUCGCCAUUUAAAGUGGUACGCGAGCUGGGUUUAGAACGUCGUGAGACAGUUC